rnacentral:rRNA from 1 species
UCCCUACGGGGCGCAGCAGUAGGGAAUCUUCCACAAUGGGCGAAAGCCUGAUGGAGCAACGCCGCGUGGGUGAAGAAGGUCUUCGGAUCGUAAAACCCUGUUGUUAGAGAAGAAAGUGCGUGAGAGUAACUGUUCACGUUUCGACGGUAUCUAACCAGAAAGCCACGGCUAACUACGUGCCAGCAGCCGCGGUAAUACGUAGGUGGCAAGCGUUAUCCGGAUUUAUUGGGCGUUAAGAGAACGCAGGCGGUCUUUUAAGUCUUAUUUGUAAGCCUUCGGCCU